rnacentral:rRNA from 1 species
AAAUUGUUGAAAGGGAAGCGCUUGUGACCAGACUUGCGCCGGGCAGCUCAUCAGGGGUUCUCCCCUGUGCACUCUGCCCGGCUCAGGCCAGCAUCGGUUCUCGUGGGAGGAUAAGAACGGUAGGAACGUGGCCCCCUUUCGGGGGGGUGUUAUAGCCUGCCGUACGAUACUCCCGUGGGGACCGAGGUUCGCGCUCCGCAAGGAUGCUGGCGUAAUGGUCAUCAGCGACCCGUCUUGAAACACGGACCAAGGAGUCGUCCAUUAGAGCGAGCGUUUGGGUGUAAAACCCGCACGCGUAAUGAAAGUGAACGCAGGUGAGAGCUUCGGCGCAUCAUCGACCGAUCCUGAUGUCUUCGGAUGGAUUUGAGUAAGAGUUUUAACGGACGGACCCGAAAGACAGUGAACUAUGCUUGUAUAGGGUGAAGCCAGAGGAAACUCUGGUGGUUAACUCGCAGCGGUUCUGACGUGCAAAUCGAU